ACCAUUUUUUUAUUAAUAGAUGAGAAGAUUAAUGUUUUUAGGCAACCUGCCCACAGUGUCACCCCUAGUAAGUAACAGAAUCAAGGCCAAAGCCGCAGGAAAUCUCAUUCCAGAAUUUUCCAACAAACACUGGCCUCAUCCUUAACACAUUGAGCUCAGAAGUUACCCUCAACCAUGAACAAAGAGUAUUGAGAUUUAUUUUGUUUGAUUCUAAGGACCAGAACUAAAACACACAGGAAGCCGAUUUCAGUUCAUUAUAAAGGUAAACGUUCAAGUACUACGUCACACUGUAGUUAAGGUAGAAAAAGAUAACUUGAUAUAAACACACAAGUUUUACAAACAGCGAAUACUUUGGUGGACAAGACUUCCCUUGACAAAACGCUAAAUCACAGCCAACAUCUGCUAAUAAUGCAGAUAAUUUAUGACGAUUUUUGCUUCGAUAACCAAUGAAUUCUAUGCAGAAACAGUGCUCUCUCGGGGCUGAAACAGUCAUGGUCAGCUCUAGAACCCUAUCGGUGCCUUCUCACGGUCGUUCAGAAGCACUCUGGCCCUAUUGAAGAACCUGUGCAUUACAGCCGCCGGAUGAGCGCAGACUCCACCCGGGCGUUCCGCCGAAAUUCUUAGCCGCCUACAGGAGGAAACUACAACUCCCAUCAGACAAGGCGAGCCGAGUGGGCGGGUAUUCGCCGCGCGUGGGCGGCCCUGACCAAUAACGACGGUCGUUACAGCGAACAGUUUGGCCGCGUUUGUAAAAGGCCGCGGCAGGCGAAGAGAGAGGAGGUGAGGGCGGUCAUCAGCGUGGGGCCCUGGGGCCGCGGAGGGGGGGGGGCGGUGGCGCAGAGCAGGCAAGGGGGCCGCGUUGACAGAAGGCGGGGACAGCAGUGCGACGAGGGCGUAGAGCCGGGAAUCCCGGCGGAGAGCGUGGCCAAGGAGCAGGGGGAGUCCUGGCCAGUGGAUACUCAACAAAUAUUACAGUUGGGAGAUUAAUUCAUAGCACCAGUGAAAAG
rnacentral:lncRNA from 1 species